UGCGGGGAAGACUCUCUGGGCUUGACCUUUUUAGCUGCUCUGAUGGCUAUUUUAAAGUAAUGUGCAGAUUCGCCCAGCAGGGGUCUCCCGGAGCACCAGGACAGACUGAGCAGCCUGUCAGAAAUUCUCCAUUAUUAUAUCUGGGGGAAAUGCUGUCUGUAAAACCACACCGAGCUGCAGGGUGUUCCUUCCUUAUUCAUUGUCUCUAGCACCACUAGUCUACCUUUGUGGUGUAUCUACUAAGCAGGCUGACAUAGAAUUGAAUCUAUGGGGAACUUUUCAUCACCCUGUUUCCUGAGUUGACAUAAUUUAGGGAAUAAGGGUUUGAUAUGUGAGACAGAGCUGAAGUGGCCAUUCACCCAUAGCUGGCUCCUGUAGCACCUCACCAUAGGGGUGAUUUUAUAUCUAUAUAUUUUUUUGCCAGUUUUCUGUCAUUGAUAAUUCAUGUAUGGCAUCAAUAAAUUGAAUUUUCACUGAAAAAGUCUUU